rnacentral:rRNA from 1 species
UGCUCUAUACACUUAUUAAUUCUCAUGAAUCUAUAAGAAAAGCUCCGGCGGUAAAAGAUGGGCAUGCGUCCUAUUAGCUUGUAGGUGAGGUAAUGGCUCACCUUAGCUUUGAUAGGUAGGGGUCCUGAGAGGGAGAUCCCCCACACUGGUACUGAGACACGGACCAGACUUCUACGUAAGGCAGCAGUAAGGAAUAUUGGACAAUGGAGGCAACUCUGAUCCAGCCAUGCCGCGUGAAGGAAGACGGCCUUAUGGGUUGUAA